rnacentral:tRNA from 2 species
GUCCCUAUAGUCUAGAGGUCAGGACGCGGCCCUUUCAAGGCUGAGACCCGAGUUCGAUUCUCGGUAGGGGCACCA